rnacentral:rRNA from 1 species
CUACGGGCCGCACCAGUCGAGAAUCAUCCGCAAUGGGCGAAAGCCUGACGGUGCGACGCCGCGUGGAGGAUGAAGGCCUUCGGGUUGUAAACUCCUUUCACUCGGGAAGAAAAAUUGUCUUGUGAAUAACAAGAUGACCUGACGGUACCGGGAGAAGAAGCCCUGGGUAACUCCGUGCCAGCAACCGCGGUAAUACGGAGAGGGCAAGCGUUGUUCGGAUUUACUGGGCGUAAAGGGCAUGUAGGUGUCCUGAUAAGCUCUGGGUGAAAUCUCCGCGCUCAACGCGGAAACGAAUCAGAGAACUAUCAGGAUUGAGUUCAGGAGAAGAGAGUGGAAUUCUCGGUGUAGCGGUGAAAUGCGUAGAUAUCGAGAAGAACACCAGCGGCGAAGGCGACUCUCUAUUCUGAAACUGACACUCAAAUGCGAAAGCGUGGGUAGCGAAUGGGAUUAGAUACCCGGGUAGUC